UGUGUUGGACUAACCAGUCCACUCUGCAACAUACAGACACUAGUUCUAGGUCAGUGUGGUCUGACAGAGGGUUGCUGUUCAGAUCUGGCCUCAGUCCUGAGUUCACCCAACUCACACACUGAAACAACUGGAGCUGAGAGACAAUGACCUGCAGGACUCAGGAGUUACACUGCUGUCUGCUGGACUGGAGGAUCCAGACUGUAAACUACACACACUGGGGCUGUCUGGCUGUCUGGUCACAGAGGAGGGCUGUGCUG